rnacentral:rRNA from 1 species
GCUCAUGGCUCAGGAUGAACGCUGGCGGCGUGCCUAACACAUGCAAGUCGAGCGAUUCUCUUCGGAGAAGAGCGGCGGACGGGUGAGUAACGCGUGGGUAACCUGCCCUGUACACACGGAUAACAUACCGAAAGGUAUGCUAAUACGAGAUAAUAUGGGAGAGUCGCAUGGCUUUCUUAUCAAAGCUUUUGCGGUACAGGAUGGACCCGCGUCUGAUUAGCUAGUUGGUAAGGUAACGG